rnacentral:piRNA from 1 species
GACACAAAGUCCAAAAGAUAACUGCUUAUA